AAUAACAAAAGUGUAACAGUGAGAUGGAACCCCAAAAACAAUGGAUGGAAACUUAUUUCGCUAAAAGAACAGUCGUUACUACAACCUCUGCAAAAAGUAAUGUUAGAAACAAGCAAAGAAACUGUAGCUUCCAGGAAGGAGAUACUAUUAUUAUUGAAUAAAUUAAACUUGGAAUCACAAUCUUUGCCUAACGACAUCAAAGAAGGAUUACAAAAAAUAGCCUUGCCUUUAAAAUAUGAAAAGUUAGGUGAUUUUGAUGCUAUUACUCUGAAUAUAGCGAGUGAAAGAAAGAAAAUAAAGGAAAAAAAGAGACAGUAUGAAGAAAAACAGUUGGCGUUAUUAUAUGAUGAUCAUUUUAGAAAAUAUACUAUUUUUUCAAGGAAAGUUAAUUGUUUGCAAAAGGCUGUAAAUUCACUUGAAAGCAUUAUUGAGAAUUCUCAGAAAGAGCAAGCGGAUAUUCCAUGUUUCAUUAUUUACAAAGUUAAAGAAAUAUUAGCAAAGAAAUAUUAGCAAACUGUAGAAAAGUUAGAAACUGUCUUAGCAGAUAUGCAAGUAUAAGAUCUUUAUACCAAAAAAUAUUAAAUAAAUAUCAUAGAUAUUUAGAAAUGUCAGAUGAAUUAACAGAACUUAAUCAAUAAUUUAGUUAAUAUAGAGAUUUACCACAAAAUUUACUACAAGCUAAACCUCUAGUUGUAAUUAAAAAAAAGGAAUAAGAAACUUUAAAGAGCACAUUUUUGGAGAAAACAAAAUGAAUGAUAGGUGUAACAGUGUUGUUAAUCAAUAUCUUACUUUAUAACUUUUUCACUUUUAUACAAUAAUAAAGAAAAAAUGUUGUAUAUAUAAACAUAUCUAAUACAAGUCUUCUAUAUUUAAAAACCAUA